UACGAAGGGGGCUAGCGUUUUUCGGAAUUACUGGGCGUAAAGCGCACGUAGGCGGAUUGUUAAGUCGGGGGUGAAAUCCUGGAGCUCAACUCCAGAACUGCCUUCGAUACUGGAGAGCUUGAGUCCGGGAGAGGUGAGUGGAACUGCGAGUGUAGAGGUGAAAUUCGUAGAUAUUCGCAAGAACACCAGUGGCGAAGGCGGCUCACUGGCCCGGUACUGACGCUGAGGUGCGAAAGCGUGGGGAGCAAACAGG
rnacentral:rRNA from 1 species